GAUGAACGCUGGCGGCGUGCUUAACACAUGCCAGUCGAACGAGAAAUGUAGACGGACACCUUCGGGCGGAAGCCUUCAUUUCGAGUGGCGGACGGGUGAGUAACGCGUGGGUAACCUGCCUCAUACAGGGGGAUAACAGUUGGAAACGACUGUUAAUACCGCAUAAGACCACAGCAUCGCAUGAUGCGGGGGUAAAAACUCCGGUGGUAUGAGAUGGACCCGCGUUCGAUUAGCCAGUUGGCGGGGUAACGGCCCACCAAAGCGACGAUCGAUAGCCGAUCUGAGAGGAUGACCGGCCACAUUGGGACUGAGACACGGCCCAAACUCCUACGGGAGGCAGCAGUGGGGAAUAUUGCACAAUGGGGGAAACCCUGAUGCAGCGACGCCGCGUGAGUGAAGAAGUACUUCGGUAUGUAAAGCUCUAUCAGCAGGGAAGAAAAUGACGGUACCUGAGUAAGAAGCCCCGGCUAACUACGUG
rnacentral:rRNA from 1 species